UCUGAAAGAUCUGGUGCAGUAGUUGUACCCAUCACACCAGGCGACAAAUGGCAGUGAAACUGUAAUGGCUACUUUUAUAUGUGCCGUGUUAACUUGGCAAACACAAUUUAUGUUACUCAACCUGGGGCUGUGAUUAGCAGGAUAUGAUCUAGGAGUUCAAUGUUUAUACACAAUACUGCACUGGGAUAUUUGUUCUGAUUCUUUUUCAUUUAAGCAUAAACUUUAAAAUGCCUUACUUUUAAAACUAAAAAUAUCUGUCUCUCUUUGUUGUUGAUGUUGAGGAAGUAGAAGAGUUCUUACAUUCUAAAUCUCAAAUAAGUUUUGGCCCCAUUGAGAGGUCUGAAGCCGGGGUCUGGUCUGGUCACCUUCUCUGCAGAUUAUUGCAAUAGCAAUAGAUGCAGAGCAACCAGCAACUGGGGAAUAGGAAAAUCUGCUGUCACUGCUGUGCUGGGAGACUCUGGGUCCUCCUACAAGCUCCUACUGGGUCCCUUGAAGUUGGUUUACACUUCUAGAGGAUCUUGCUGUGUUGCAAGAAGGAAAUGGCUCUUUACCCUUAACAAUCUCAGUAGAUAAGGAUCACUAGCUGCCAGAGAACCUGCUUUUCUGAGUAGUGAUGUAAAGCCAGCAGGGCUGGUGACAAGGGCUUGCCUUUCCAAGGCAGGAUUCAUCCCAGGAGAGCGUGGUACACAGCAGUCAACAGCUCUGGCAGUGCUGCAGCUGAAUAAGCAUGAGCCUGGGGUGCUUCCUAACCUCUGUAGCAAUUUCAGCAAAAAUGUACGACUUACCAACACCAGGCUUCAGCUUCUCUGUGUGUAAUGACAUCAAACAAUGCGGGUUUGCAGGAGGCUUCAACAAAGCAACGCUUGCCACUACUCACAGCAGAAUUUCUGUCACCGGGAGAAGUUAUUAUAUUCACACAGGGAAAGGCAUUAGCUUAAAGAGCUGAAUUCUAAGGAAGAUUGAAUUCUGACUCCUUUUGCACUGGGAAGCCAAGCAACCACACAACUUGCAGGACCUGGGAUAGUUUUCUUCUCAUGGUAAGACUUCCUGGAGUUGUAUUAAAGACUGUCCUGUUCUUUUAAAGUCACUUUAGUACCCUAUGGUGGU
rnacentral:lncRNA from 1 species